rnacentral:rRNA from 1 species
GAUCCUGGCUCAGGAUGAACGCUGGCGGCGUGCCUAACGCAUGCAAGUCGAGCGAUCUCUUCGGAGAGAGCGGCGGACGGGUGAGUAACGCGUGGGUAACCUGCCCUGUACACACGGAUAACAUACCGAAAGGUAUGCUAAUACGGGAUAAUAUAUAAGAGUCGCAUGACUUUUAUAUCAAAGAUUUUUUCGGUACAGGAUGGACCCGCGUCUGAUUAGCUUGUUGGCGGGGUAACGGCCCACAAGG